GAUGAACGCUGGCGGCGUGCCUAAUACAUGCAAGUCGAGCGAACAGACGAGGAGCUUGCUCCUCUGACGUUAGCGGCGGACGGGUGAGUAACACGUGGAUAACCUACCUAUAAGACUGGGAUAACUUCGGGAAACCGGAGCUAAUACCGGAUAAUAUAUUGAACCGCAUGGUUCAAUAGUGAAAGACGGUUUUGCUGUCACUUAUAGAUGGAUCCGCGCCGCAUUAGCUAGUUGGUAAGGUAACGGCUUACCAAGGCGACGAUGCGUAGCCGACCUGAGAGGGUGAUCGGCCACACUGGAACUGAGACAGGGUCCAGACUACUACGGGACGCAGCAGUAGGGAAUCUUCCGCAAUGGGCGAGAGCCUGACGGAGCAACGCCGCGUGAGUGAUGAAGGUCUUCGGAUCGUAAAACUCUGUUAUUAGGGAAGAACAAAUGUGUAAGUAACUAUGCACGUCUUGACGGUACCUAAUCAGAAAGCCACGGCUAACUACGUG
rnacentral:rRNA from 1 species